AGUCGAGCGGAUUGAUGGGAGCUUGCUCCCUGAAAUCAGCGGCGGACGGGUGAGUAACACGUGGGUAACCUGCCUGUAAGACUGGGAUAACUCCGGGAAACCGGGGCUAAUACCGGAUAGUUCUUUUCCUCGCAUGAGGAAAAGUGGAAAGGCGGCUUCGGCUGCCACUUACAGAUGGACCCGCGGCGCAUUAGCUAGUUGGUGAGGUAACGGCUCACCAAGGCAACGAUGCGUAGCCGACCUGAGAGGGUGAUCGGCCACACUGGGACUGAGACACGGCCCAGACUCCUACGGGAGGCAGCAGUAGGGAAUCUUCCGCAAUGGACGAAAGUCUGACGGAGCAACGCCGCGUGAGUGAUGAAGGUUUUCGGAUCGUAAAGCUCUGUUGUUAGGGAAGAACAAGUGCCGUUCGAAUAGGGCGGCACCUUGACGGUACCUAACCAGAAAGCCACGGCUAACUACGUGCCAGCAGCCGCGGUAAUACGUAGGUGGCAAGCGUUGUCCGGAAUUAUUGGGCGUAAAGCGCGCGCAGGCGGUCUCUUAAGUCUGAUGUGAAAGCCCACGGCUCAACCGUGGAGGGUCAUUGGAAA
rnacentral:rRNA from 2 species